GUUGUGAGCCCGCUAUCCGCGGCCAGCGCGGGCGCGGCCGGAGACCGUGGGGCCCGGGUUGCCGCCCCCUCAGGAGCCACCAUGUUGGUGAUACCUCCCGGACUGAGCGAGGAAGAGGAGGCUCUGCAGAAGAAAUUCAACAAACUCAAGAAAAAGAAAAAGGCAUUGCUGGCUCUGAAGAAGCAAAGUAGCAGCAGCACAGCCAGCCAAGGUGGUGUCAAACGCUGUGAGUGACAGGGGAAAUGGGGAUGGACUGGAAGUGGGCAGCAUGGAGCUGACCUUCGUCAUGGCUUGGCCAACAUAAUGCCUCUUCCCCUUGUCUCUCCAGCACUAUCAGAGCAGCCUGUCGUGGACACAGCCACAGCAACAGAGCAGGCAAAGCAGCUGGUGAAGUCAGGAGCCAUCAGCGCCAUCAAGGCUGAGACCAAGAACUCAGGCUUCAAGCGUUCUCGAACCCUUGAGGGGAAGUUAAAGGACCCUGAGAAGGGACCAGUCCCCACUUUCCAGCCGUUCCAGAGGAGCAUAUCUGCUGAUGAUGACCUGCAAGAGUCGUCCAGACGUCCCCAGAGGAAAUCUCUGUA
rnacentral:sRNA from 1 species